AUGCCUUAAACUAAUGAGUAAGGAAAAUAAUGAGUCCUGGUGACGCGGGGCUCCCAGGUUCACUAUCCUGGACGAAUUUCUGAGAGGGCUCAGGUCGUCCGUGGGGUGGCCCGCCUACUUUUGCGGGCUGCCCGCGUUGUAGCGAUCUGCCCG
rnacentral:snRNA from 1 species